rnacentral:rRNA from 1 species
AUUCACGGAGAGUUUGAUCCUGGCUCAGGACGAACGCUGGCGGCGUGCCUAAAACAUGCAAGUCGAGCGAGUUAGGUGGAGCCUAUGCAAGUAGGGGAAGCCUAGCUAGCGGCGGACGGGUGAGUAA